UAUGAAACCCUGAUCAAAGAGUUCAAAUUUCAAAUUCAAAAUUUGAAAUUCAAAAUUUUGACCUCGGUACCCAAAAUAUGUGGAACUCAUGAUCAGAGAAUCCUAAUUCUCAAUCAUAGAGUCCCAAACACAUAAGACUCAUAAUCAGCCAUCAGAUCAGAAAGGAACCUCUAAUGUGUGUGACCCCGCAGGUUCAAACCUAAGCCGGUAGCACAGGAACCAAUUCCUGUACUAAUCAAAGUGACCAUCUAGCAAUGGUACCC
rnacentral:lncRNA from 1 species